GGUCAAGUGAAGAAGCGCAUACGGUGGAUGCCUUGGCAGUCAGAGGCGAUGAAAGACGUGGUAGCCUGCGAUAAGCUUCGGGGAGUCGGCAAACAGACUUUGAUCCGGAGAUCUCUGAAUGGGGGAACCCACUCAGCAUAAGCUGAGUAUCUUGUACUGAAUACAUAGGUGCAAGAGGCGAACCAGGGGAACUGAAACAUCUAAGUACCCUGAGGAAAAGAAAUCAACCGAGAUUCCCUUAGUAGUGGCGAGCGAACGGGGACUAGCCCUUAAGUGGCUUUGAGAUUAGCGGAACGCUCUGGAAAGUGCGGCCAUAGUGGGUGAUAGCCCUGUACGCGAAAAUCUCUUAGUCAUGAAAUCGAGUAGGACGGAGCACGAGAAACUUUGUCUGAAUAUGGGGGGACCAUCCUCCAAGGCUAAAUACUACUGACUGACCGAUAGUGAACCAGUACCGUGAGGGAAAGGCGAAAAGAACCCCGGAGAGGGGAGUGAAAUAGAUCCUGAAACCGUAUGCGUACAAGCAGUGGGAGCCUACUUGUUAGGUGACUGCGUACCUUUUGUAUAAUGGGUCAGCGACUUAUAUUCAGUGGCGAGCUUAACCGAAUAGGGGAGGCGUAGCGAAAGCGAGUCUUAAUAGGGCGUUUAGUCGCUGGGUAUAGACCCGAAACCGGGCGAUCUAUCCAUGGGCAGGUUGAAGGUUAGGUAACACUGACUGGAGGACCGAACCGACUACCGUUGAAAAGUUAGCGGAUGACCUGUGGAUCGGAGUGAAAGGCUAAUCAAGCUCGGAGAUAGCUGGUUCUCCUCGAAAGCUAUUUAGGUAGCGCCUCAUGUAUCACUGUAGGGGGUAGAGCACUGUUUCGGCUAGGGGGUCAUCCCGACUUACCAAACCGAUGCAAACUCCGAAUACCUACAAGUGCCGAGCAUGGGAGACACACGGCGGGUGCUAACGUCCGUCGUGAAAAGGGAAACAACCCAGACCGUCAGCUAAGGUCCCAAAGUUAUGGUUAAGUGGGAAACGAUGUGGGAAGGCUUAGACAGCUAGGAGGUUGGCUUAGAAGCAGCCACCCUUUAAAGAAAGCGUAAUAGCUCACUAGUCGAGUCGGCCUGCGCGGAAGAUGUAACGGGGCUCAAACCAUACACCGAAGCUACGGGUAUCACUUAGGUGAUGCGGUAGAGGAGCGUUCUGUAAGCCUGUGAAGGUGAGUUGAGAAGCUUGCUGGAGGUAUCAGAAGUGCGAAUGCUGACAUGAGUAACGACAAUGGGAGUGAAAAACUCCCACGCCGAAAGACCAAGGUUUCCUGCGCAACGUUAAUCGACGCAGGGUUAGUCGGUCCCUAAGGCGAGGCUGAAAAGCGUAGUCGAUGGAAAACAGGUUAAUAUUCCUGUACUUCUGGUUAUUGCGAUGGAGGGACGGAGAAGGCUAGGCCAGCUUGGCGUUGGUUGUCCAAGUUUAAGGUGGUAGGCUGAGAUCUUAGGUAAAUCCGGGAUCUUAAGGCCGAGAGCUGAUGACGAGUUGCCUUUAGGCGACGAAGUGGUUGAUGCCAUGCUUCCAAGAAAAGCUUCUAAGCUUCAGAUAACCAGGAACCGUACCCCAAACCGACACAGGUGGUUGGGUAGAGAAUACCAAGGCGCUUGAGAGAACUCGGGUGAAGGAACUAGGCAAAAUGGCACCGUAACUUCGGGAGAAGGUGCGCCGGUGAGGGUGAAGGACUUGCUCCGUAAGCCCAUGCCGGUCGAAGAUACCAGGCCGCUGCGACUGUUUAUUAAAAACACAGCACUCUGCAAACACGAAAGUGGACGUAUAGGGUGUGACGCCUGCCCGGUGCCGGAAGGUUAAUUGAUGGGGUUAGCUAACGCGAAGCUCUUGAUCGAAGCCCCGGUAAACGGCGGCCGUAACUAUAACGGUCCUAAGGUAGCGAAAUUCCUUGUCGGGUAAGUUCCGACCUGCACGAAUGGCGUAACGAUGGCGGCGCUGUCUCCACCCGAGACUCAGUGAAAUUGAAAUCGCUGUGAAGAUGCAGUGUAUCCGCGGCUAGACGGAAAGACCCCGUGAACCUUUACUAUAGCUUUGCACUGGACUUUGAAUUUGCUUGUGUAGGAUAGGUGGGAGGCUUUGAAGCGUGGACGCCAGUUCGCGUGGAGCCAUCCUUGAAAUACCACCCUGGCAACUUUGAGGUUCUAACUCAGGUCCGUUAUCCGGAUCGAGGACAGUGUAUGGUGGGUAGUUUGACUGGGGCGGUCUCCUCCUAAAGAGUAACGGAGGAGUACGAAGGUGCGCUCAGACCGGUCGGAAAUCGGUCGUAGAGUAUAAAGGCAAAAGCGCGCUUGACUGCGAGACAGACACGUCGAGCAGGUACGAAAGUAGGUCUUAGUGAUCCGGUGGUUCUGUAUGGAAGGGCCAUCGCUCAACGGAUAAAAGGUACUCCGGGGAUAACAGGCUGAUACCGCCCAAGAGUUCAUAUCGACGGCGGUGUUUGGCACCUCGAUGUCGGCUCAUCACAUCCUGGGGCUGAAGCCGGUCCCAAGGGUAUGGCUGUUCGCCAUUUAAAGUGGUACGCGAGCUGGGUUUAGAACGUCGUGAGACAGUUCGGUCCCUAUCUGCCGUGGACGUUUGAGAUUUGAGAGGGGCUGCUCCUAGUACGAGAGGACCGGAGUGGACGAACCUCUGGUGUUCCGGUUGUCACGCCAGUGGCAUUGCCGGGUAGCUAUGUUCGGAAGAGAUAACCGCUGAAAGCAUCUAAGCGGGAAACUUGCCUCAAGAUGAGAUCUCACUGGAGCCUUGAGCUCCCUGAAGGGCCGUCGAAGACUACGACGUUGAUAGGUUGGGUGUGUAAGCGCUGUGAGGCGUUGAGCUAACCAAUACUAAUUGCCCGUGAGGCUUGACCAU
rnacentral:rRNA from 3 species